rnacentral:rRNA from 1 species
UGGGGAAUAUUGCACAAUGGGCGCAAGCCUGAUGCAGCAACGCCGCGUGAGGGACGACGGCCUUCGGGUUGUAAACCUCUUUUAGCAGGGAAGAAGCGAAAGUGACGGUACCUGCAGAGAAAGCACCGGCCAACUACGUGCCAGCAGCCGCGGUAAUACGUAGGGUGCGAGCGUUGUCCGGAAUUAUUGGGCGUAAAGAGCUCGUAGGCGGUCUGGCGCGUCGGUCGUGAAAACUUGGGGCUUAACCCUGAGCUUGCGGUCGAUACGGGCAUGACUGGAGUUCGGCAGGGGAGACUGGAAUUCCUGGUGUAGCGGUGAAAUGCGCAGAUAUCAGGAGGAACACCGGUGGCGAAGGCGGGUCUCUGGGCCGAUACUGACGCUGAGGAGCGAAAGCGUGGGGAGCGAA